GAUGAACGCUGGCGGCGUGCCUAAUACAUGCAAGUCGAGCGAACGGACGAGAAGCUUGCUUUUCUGAUGUUAGCGGCGGACGGGUGAGUAACACGUGUAUAACCUACCUAUAAGACUGGGAUAACUUCGGGAAACCGGAGCUAAUACCGGAUAAUAUUUUGAACCGCAUUGUUCAAAAGUGAAAGACGGUCUUGCUGUCACUUAUAGAUGGAUCCGCGCUGCAUUAGCUAGUUGGUAAGGUAACGGCUUACCAAGGCAACGAUGCAUAUCCGACCUGGGAGGGUGAUCGGCCACACUGGAACUGAGACACGGUCCAGACUCCUACGAGAGGCAGCAGUAGGGAAUCUUCCGCAAUGGGCGAAAGCCUGACGGAGCAACGCCGCGUGAGUGAUGAAGGUCUUCGGAUCGUAAAACUCUGUUAUUAGGGAAGAACAUAUGUGUAAGUAACUGUGCACAUCUUGACGGUACCUAAUCAGAAAGCCACGGCUAACUACGUG
rnacentral:rRNA from 1 species